rnacentral:siRNA from 1 species
GUAGUCCGGUCGCCGCAUCAAGUC